rnacentral:rRNA from 1 species
CCCUAGUAACGGCGAGUGAAGCGGCAACAGCUCAAAUUUGAAAUCUGGCGUCUUUGGCGUCCGAGUUGUAAUUUGCAGAGGGCGCUUUGGCAUUGGCAGCGGUCCAAGUUCCUUGGAACAGGACGUCACAGAGGGUGAGAAUCCCGUACGUGGUCGCUAGCCUUUACCGUGUAAAGCCCCUUCGACGAGUCGAGUUGUUUGGGAAUGCAGCUCUAAAUGGGAGGUAAAUUUCUUCUAAAGCUAAAUACUGGCCAGAGACCGAUAGCGCACAAGUAGAGUGAUCGAAAGAUGAAAAGCACUUUGGAAAGAGAGUUAAAAAGCACGUGAAAUUGUUGAAAGGGAAGCGCUUGCAGCCAGACUUGCCUGUAGUUGCUCAUCCGGGUUUCUACCCGGUGCACUCUUCUAUAGGCAGGCCAGCAUCAGUUUGGGCGGUUGGAUAAAGGUCUCUGUCAUGUACCUCCUUUCGGGGAGAACUUAUAGGGGAGACGACAUGCAACCAGCCUGGACUGAGGUCCGCGCAUCUGCUAGGAUGCUGGCGUAAUGGCUGUAAGCGGCCCGUCUUGAAACACGGACCAAGGAGUCUAACAUCUAUGCGAGUGUUUGGGUGUCAAGCCCGAGCGCGUAAUGAAAGUGAACGGAGGUGGGAACCUUUCGGGGUGCACCAUCGACCGAUCCUGAUGUCUUCGGAUGGAUUUGAGUAAGAGCAUAGCUGUUGGGACCCGAAAGAUGGUGAACUAUGCUUGAAUAGGGUGAAGCCAGAGGAAACUCUGGUGGAGGCUCGCAGCGGUUCUGACGUGCAAAUCGAUCGUCAAAUUGGGCAUAGGGGCGAAAGA